UUGAAUCAAACAAAACAAGAUUUUCCCACUUAAAGGAAACACACGAUGAUCGACUUCUGAACAGCACAAGCAACUAUCCGAAAUAAAACACAAGCAAAUAUGGGAUUCAAGGUACAGAGUGAUGCAUUAUUUCUGGUAUUUUUGUUUUACUUUAGAUAAUAAAAAACUAGCACAAGCAGACAUCAAAGACAGGGGUAGAAGAAAUUUAUAAGAGAUUGGGAUAGAAACAUCAAAAUAGUAAAUCCAGUGGCACAAGUUCUCACAGAUCAACUAAACUAUACCACAGUUCACAUCCAAGAGAAGAUUAGCAGAGAGAAAGAAAGGGCAGAGUGAAUUUUGCCUCCAGUCCAUGGGAGAAUUUUAACACAAUACGAAUUAUUUUAAGUCUGAACUCUCAACAUUCCAAAGAUCAACAGCAGGCUCUCAACUCUCGUACACACAAACAGCAGAGAGAUUAAACCAAAGGAGAUGAGGCAGAAGUUGGAGAAGGGGAGGACGUUGCAGGUCGUCGUCGUGGUCGCACAAGCUGAUGGUUCCUUGGCUGCUGCAGGUCGUCGUGGAGUUGCUCGCAGGAGACGCCGGGCUUUCUUUGGCUGCUGCAGGUCUUGGCAGCGCGUGAAGGAGGAGCAGUAGAUCGGUGGAAGGGGCAGCAGCUGGAUCGUGGCGCGCCGCCACGCUGGCCUGGCCGCGGCGGCGGCCGGUGGUGCAGCAGGAGUUAGGGGAAAGGGGAAGUGCGAGGCUAGGUGGAAUCCAGAGCAAAUCUAGGGAUUUAAU
rnacentral:lncRNA from 1 species